CUGGAAAGCUUGGCGAUACAGGGUGAUAGCCCCGUAACCGACGCUUCAUCGAGCGUGAAAUCGAGUAGGGCGGGACACGUGAUAUCCUGUCUGAAUAUGGGGGGACCAUCCUCCAAGGCUAAAUACUCCUGACUGACCGAUAGUGAACCAGUACCGUGAGGGAAAGGCGAAAAGAACCCCUGUGAGGGGAGUGAAAUAGAACCUGAAACCGUGUACGUACAAGCAGUAGGAGCACCUUCGUGGUGUGACUGCGUACCUUUUGUAUAAUGGGUCAGCGACUUAUAUUCAGUGGCAAGGUUAACCGUAUAGGGGAGCCGUAGCGAAAGCGAGUCUUAACUGGGCGCUCAGUCUCUGGAUAUAGACCCGAAACCGGGUGAUCUAGCCAUGGGCAGGUUGAAGGUUGAGUAACAUCAACUGGAGGACCGAACCGACUAAUGUUGAAAAAUUAGCGGAUGACUUGUGGCUAGGGGUGAAAGGCCAAUCAAACUCGGAGAUAGCUGGUUCUCCCCGAAAGCUAUUUAGGUAGCGCCUCGGACGAAUACUACUGGGGGUAGAGCACUGUUAAGGCUAGGGGGUCAUCCCGACUUACCAACCCUUUGCAAACUCCGAAUACCAGUAAGUACUAUCCGGGAGACACACGGCGGGUGCUAACGUCCGUCGUGGAGAGGGAAACAACCCAGACCGCCAGCUAAGGUCCCAAAGUAUUGCUAAGUGGGAAACGAUGUGGGAAGGCUCAGACAGCUAGGAUGUUGGCUUAGAAGCAGCCAUCAUUUAAAGAAAGCGUAAUAGCUCACUAGUCGAGUCGGCCUGCGCGGAAGAUGUAACGGGGCUAAGCAAUACACCGAAGCUGCGGCAAUGUCUUUUAGACAUUGGGUAGGGGAGCG
rnacentral:rRNA from 1 species